rnacentral:SRP_RNA from 1 species
GCAGGGCGUGGUGGUGCGUGCCUGUAGUCCCAGCUACUCAGGAGGCUGAGGUGGGAGGAUCGCUUGAGCACAGGAGUUCUGGGAUCUAGUGCAUUAUGCCGAUUGGGUGUCUGCACUAAGUUCGACAUCAAUAUGGUGACCUCCCGGGAGUGGGGGACCACCAGGUUGCCUAAGGAGGGGUGAACUGGCCCAGGUUGGAAACGGAGCAGGUCAAAACUCCGGUGCUGAUCAGUAGUGGGAUCGUGCCUGUGAAUAGCCACUGCACUCCAGCCUGGGCAACAUAGCCAGACCCCUUCUCU